rnacentral:misc_RNA from 1 species
GAUGAAGAACGUAGCGAAAUGCGAUAAGUAAUGAGAAUUGCAGAAUUCAGUGGAUCAUCGAAUCUUUGAACGCACAUUGCGCCCCUUGGUAUUCCGAGGGGCAUGCCUGUUCGAGCGUCAUUUCAACCCUCAAGCCCCCGGGCUUGGUGUUGGGGAUCGGCGUGCCCUCGCGGCGCGCCGUCCCCUAAAUCUAGUGGCGGUCUCGCUGUAGCUUCCUCUGCGUAGUAGCAACACUCGCACUGGAUCGCAGCGCGGCCACGCCGUUAAACCCCCCACUUCUGAAAGUUUGACCUCGGAUCAGGUAGGAAUACCCGCUGAACUUAAGCAUAUCAAUAAGCGGAGGA